GUGGGAGAUGCACAGGGAAGUGUCAGCAGCGUUUCACACUGUUUAUUCCCCAAAACCCCUGCCAUAGGAGAAGACAGCCACCGUGUCUUCCAGAUUGGAAAAUGUGGACGAGGAGAAAAGGGGUGUACGAUUCUCCAAGCUUCCUGCCGGCCCCUCUGCUCUCCAUUCCUGCUCUCUCACUAGCUCCUGGACCUUCUGUGAUCUCCUGAUCUCCUGAUUUUCUGCUGGAAUCACAGGAUCUGGCCCUUUCCCUCUCUCCGCCUCACCCCUGCACUGCACUGACCCAGCCUGGCCCACCUCUGCCCGCUGCUCCACAGACUGAGGUCUCCCAUGGGGAGCUGAGGUCACCCUUUGCUGCCUCACGCUGCCUCUGGGAUCAGAGGCUAUUGGAUGUGAUUUCCAAGGUCGUCUCCUCUCCUCUCCUGCCUCCUCCACCAGCAUCAAGCUUCCUACAGCUCCUGGAAUGGUUUCCUCCACCCGCAAG